AGUGAACGCUGGCGGUAGGCCUAACACAUGCAAGUCGAACGGCAGCACAGUAAGAGCUUGCUCUUACGGGUGGCGAGUGGCGGACGGGUCAGGAAUACAUCGGAAUCUACUUUUUCGUGGGGGAUAACGUAGGGAAACUUACGCUAAUACCGCAUACGACCUACGGGUGAAAGCAGGGGAUCUUCGGACCUUGCGCGAUUGAAUGAGCCGAUGUCGGAUUAGCUAGUUGGCGGGGUAAAGGCCCACCAAGGCGACGAUCCGUAGCUGGUCUGAGAGGAUGAGCAGCCACACUGGAACUGAGACACGGUCCAGACUCCUGCGGGAGGCAGCGGUAGGGAAUAUUCCGCAAUGGGCGAAAGCCUGACGGAGCAACGCCGCGGGAGUGAUGAAGGUCUUCGUAUCGUAAAACUCUGUUAUUAGGGAAGAACAAAUGUGUAAGUAACUACGCCCGUCUUGACGGCACCUAAACAGAAAGCCACGGCUAACUACGUG
rnacentral:rRNA from 1 species